rnacentral:rRNA from 1 species
CCUACGGGCGGCAGCAGUGAGGAAUAUUGGUCCAUGGACGAGAGUCUGAACCAGCCAAGUAGCGUGAAGGAUGACUGCCCUAUGGGUUGUAAACUUCUUUUAUAUGGGAAUAAAACGUUCCACGUGUGGGAUUUUGUAUGUACCAUAUGAAUAAGGAUCGGCUAACUCCGUGCCAGCAGCCGCGGUAAUACGGAGGAUCCGAGCGUUAUCCGGAUUUAUUGGGUUUAAAGGGAGCGUAGGUGGAUUGUUAAGUCAGUUGUGAAAGUUUGCGGCUCAACCGUAAAAUUGCAGUUGAAACUGGCAGUCUUGAGUACAGUAGAGGUGGGCGGAAUUCGUGGUGUAGCGGUGAAAUGCUUAGAUAUCACGAAGAACUCCGAUUGCGAAGGCAGUUCACUGGACUGCAACUGACACUGAGGCUCGAAAGUGUGGGUAUCAAACAGGAUUAGAUACCCGAGUAGUC